rnacentral:rRNA from 1 species
CGCGUAGGCGGCUUGGCAAGUGGAUGGUGAAAUCCCUCGGCUUAACCGAGGAACGGCCGUCCAAACUGCUUCGCUUGAGACCGGGAGAGGUGAGUGGAAUUCCCAGUGUAGCGGUGAAAUGCGUAGAUAUUGGGAGGAACACCAGUGGCGAAGGCGGCUCACUGGACCGGUACUGACGCUGAAGCGCGAAAGCGUGGGGAGCAAACG